GAUGAACGCUGGCGGCGUGCCUAAUACAUGCAAGUCGAGCGAACAGACGAGGAGCUUGCUCCUCUGACGUUAGCGGCGGACGGGUGAGUAACACGUGGAUAACCUACCUAUAAGACUGGGAUAACUUCGGGAAACCGGAGCUAAUACCGGAUAAUAUAUUGAACCGCAUGGUUCAAUAGUGAAAGACGGUUUUGCUGUCACUUAUAGAUGGAUCCGCGCCGCAUUAGCUAGUUGGUAAGGUAACGGCUUACCAAGGCAACGAUGCGUAGCCGACCUGAGAGGGUGAUCGGCCACACUGGAACUGAGACACGGUCCAGACUCCUACGGGAGGCAGCAGGAGGGAAUCUUCCGCAAUGGCGAAAGCCUGACGGAGCAACGCCGCGUGAGUGAUGAAGGUCUUCGGAUCGUAAAACUCUGUUAUUAGGGAAGAACAAAUGUGUAAGUAACUAUGCACGUCUUGACGGUACCUAAUCAGAAAGCCACGGCUAACUACGUG
rnacentral:rRNA from 1 species